rnacentral:rRNA from 1 species
ACUGAAUAGAUACCCUGGUAGUCCAUGCUGUAAACGAUGAGAACUAGAUGUUAGGGGGCAUGACCUCUUAGUAUCGAAGCUAACGCGAUAAGUUCUCCGCCUGGGGAGUACGGCCGCAAGGUUAAAACUCAAAGAAAUUGACGGGGGCCCGCACAAGCGGUGGAGCAUGUGGUUUAAUUCGAUGCAACGCGAAGAACCUUACCUACCUUUGAAUCCACGGAACCUAGCAGAGAUGUUGGGGUGCCUUCGGGAGCCGUGAGACAGGUGCUGCAUGGCUGUCGUCAGCUCGUGUCGUGAGAUGUUGGGUUAAGUCCCGUAACGAGCGCAACCCUUGUCCUUAGUUGCCAUCAGGUUAUGCUGGGCACUUUAAGGAGACUGCCGGUGAUAAACCGGAGGAAGGUGGGGAUGACGUCAAGUCCUCAUGGCCCUUACAGGUAGGGCUACACACGUGCUACAAUGGGCAGUACAGAGGGAAGCCAACCCGCGAGGGGAGCGAAUCUCAUAAAGCUGUUCGUAGUCCGGAUUGGAGUCUGCAAC